AGUUCGUUUUUGAAUGGGUCACAGAGAAUCAAAUAUAUUAUUAUAGUGAAGAAGGAUAUGCAUAUAAAAAUACAGGUUGGAGGUUUUGGUGGUGAGGAAGGUUCUGGAUUUGUGGUGUGCAAGCAUGGGCUGGAUCUGCAUGGCUGAUUCACUCACUCAGUGAGCCACUAAGAUCGAGGGAAUUGAUAUGGAGAAAGUGUGUGUGGUUUUAGUGGCGUGUCACACACUACUUUGCUUCUCAAUAAAUU
rnacentral:lncRNA from 1 species